GCUCCUCAUUCCUUUAUGUAGAUAUGUGUUUUCAUAUGGUAACAGUUUUCUUCUGUCUGAAGGACUUUCAUUAACAUUUCUUAUAGUUCAGGUCUAUAGUUCAGGUCUGCGCCUGCCACCGCGCCUGGCUAAACUCUUUCAGCUUUUAUAUAUCUGUAAAGGUUUUUAUUUCCCAUUUAUUUUUAUAGAUAGUUUUGUUGCUAAAGAAUUAUAGCUUUAUAGCAUUUUUUUCUUUUAGUACCUUAAAGAUGUGCUCCGUUUUCUUUUUGCUUUCAUUAUUUGUGAUAAGGAAUCUACUGGUAUUCUUAUUUUUAUUCAUGUGUUUUUUCCUCUGGUUUUUAAUAAGAUUUUUUUUUGCAGUGGUUUUGGCUGAUUACAGGGUAUUUUUAUCUAGUUUUCUUCAUGUUUCUUGUGUUUUGAGUUUGUUAAGCUUAUUGAAUUUGUAUAGUUUUUUUUUUUAAAGUAAAAGUGCUAAAAUUCCUAGAAAUUAUUUUUUCGAAUUGUUUUCAUAUCCUCCCUCUCUCUUCUUUCCUUUUAGGACUCUCAUUACUUGUAUAUUAAAAUAAUUGAAGUUGUCCCGCAUUCUACUAAUGCAUUUUUUUCAUAGUUAGAAACCCUUUCCUUUCCCAUGUUUCAUUUUGGAUAUUUUCUAUUGGUACAUCUUUGUUUACUGAUCUUUUCUUCUGUAGCGUCCAAAUCUGCUCUUAAUCUUUAGCAGUGUAUUUUAAAUCUCAGAUAAUGUAAUUAUGUCUAGAAAUUUCAUUUGGGUCUCUUUUAUAUUUUUCAUGUCUUUAACUCUUUGAACAUCUGGAAUAUAAAUAACUAUUUGAAUAUUUUGGAAAUGCGAACAUCUAUGUCAAUUCUGGGUUAGUUUCAGAUGGCUAAUUUUUUCCUUUUGUCAUAUUUUCCUGCUUCUUUGCAUGCCUGUACAUUGGAUGUCAAAUGUUGUGAAUGUUUCUUUUUGCAUGCUAGGUGAAUUUAUAUUCCUCUGUAUCCUUGGGCUUUGUUUAGAGAUAAGAUUCAAUUAUUUGGAAACAAUUUUGUCUUUUCAGCUCUUGCUUUUAUGAUUAGGCAGUCUUAGGGCAACAUUUAGUCUACGGUUAAUUACUCCUCAUAGGUGAGUCAAGACCCAAUUCAGUGCCUCACGAAUUAUGAGGUUUUUCAGUGUGAUGAGUGGUAACAGGCACAAUUCUCAGUCCUUUGUGAGCACUGGACACUGUCCCUUAGAUCAUUUUGGAUGGCUCUUUCUCCAGUCUCAAGUAGUUUCUUCACAUACGUAAACUGCUCAGUACUUUAUUGAAUACUUAAGAGGAAGUAGCUGCAGAUUUGUGGGAUUACUUUUCUGUAUGGUUCUCCCCUCUGUGAUACUCAUCUCUUGUAAGCUCUAGCUGCCUCUAUUUCCCAAACUUUCAGCUCUGUCUCAACUCAGGAACUUCUUAGGAAUUCCUAAAUUAGCACUCCCUGAAUCACUAUCUGGAAACUCUCUGAAGUCUAUAAAAUGAAGAGAUUAAAGGGCUUAUAUCAUUUGCUUCCAUCUCUCAGGAAUCACUGCCUUUUUUGCCCCCGCCAAGGUCCUGUGUCUUAACAAUCAUUGUUUUAUAUAUACAUGUUUUAGGUUUUUUUAAAAAAAAUCUGGUGGGAGGGCGAAUCUGGCCUGUUAGUCCAUUUUGGAAGCAGAAGUCUUAAUUUUUUUUUAAAUUCCUACCUUAUCAGGGACCCCAUUUAGUCUCUGCCUGCUCUAAUAGUCAACUCUUUCUUUACCUCCUGAUUUUGAAAGUCUAACUUAACUUUAGUUAAAAAUAGCAUUCACACCAACUACUUAUAGGAUCCAGAAAAAAUAAACAAAUGAACUACAUUUCUUCAUUUUUAUUCUGUACAUUUCCACACAAUUCACAAUACAGAAAAAGUGUCCAAAAAGUAACUGUAACUAGUCAAUUUCUUUUUCAGAGAUUAGUUCAGUCUCCCAAAUUAACUCCAUUGAAAAUCUCUGUAGUGCAACACAGUGAUCAAGAUACUUUAUAUAAAUAGGAAAUGCAAGAAAAUUAGGGAAAAAUACUUUAUGACUUUGUUACAAAAAACUUCAUUCUUCCCUUUCCCAUCCCACCCCCCCCCCCCCACCCACCCUCCCUCCACUUCGUAUUAUCUGAAUCCUCCUUUACCUGGAAAUAAAACUUUAAUCUUUCUACUGCCACAGCUGCUACUUGUUUAUGGAUUCCACCUGCCAGCUGGCAGCUUUGCAAAAGCAUGGCUCUGGGAUGUGAUAGGGCAGAAUCAGAAAUCAUGAAAAAGCCCUUUAUAAUGUGACUGCAACUCUUCAUACAGAUGUAGCCUUUGCGAGUGGAAUACCCACAGCCAAGGGUACCCUGGAUGCCUGGGAACGUUUUCCCACUCAGAAAUCAAAUUAAAUCAAAUAUAUUCAUUCUUUUAGAACUGAGAUUGUCCUCUAUUCCUUAGUUUUUCACAAGAAUGGUUUUCCUCAGUUUCAGUCAGUGGUGGUCUGUAUAAUAUUCAGAUUCAUGGUUGCCCACUUAACUAUUGGUAAUUUUAAAAAACAGCCAAGCUAACCUUUGCUGAGACUAUUUUGGCCCCUGACUUUUCAAAGAUGUGUUUUGCAAAAUAUUCUGUUGUGUUAGAAUAUUUUGUCUAUGAGAGUUCUAAAUCUCCUUCCCCAGGAUGGCAAGAAUCCAAACUUUCCCAACUUAUAAUCGGUAAGUCAGGGAGAGCAUCAAAGUUCUACUUGCAUUGGAAAUUAUGCUUGUAUGUAAUUAGAGUCUCAAUCCAACCAAUGAUGGGUGGGGAGAGUGGCGAAUAAAAAUUCUUUGAUCUCCAGAAGAUCAGGAGAUCAGGAGCCAUUUGGUUGCAUAUAGAAGGUACAACAAAUAUCAAGGCUAGAUGGUAUCUUAAAAGUGAUAAAUCUCACCAACACCUAUAAAUUUGAAAUUACCUAUAAAUUUGAAACAAAAAAUAGGGUAAACUGACAGGACUAUCCUAUCUGUAUGUGUGUGUUUUAUAAGUGAAGAGUAAAGACAAUUUGUAAACAUAUAUCUAUCAUUUUUAAGAGGAAAAUGUAUAUUUAAACCCAAAAUAACAAGGUCACAGUCUCUGAAUUUUUAAGUGAAUAUAUUGAGAUUUGUGGGAAAAAACCCUAAAUAUUCCUUAUUUUUUUCAAACUUUAUCAGGGACCAGAACAAGUUUGUGGACAGGCAUAAUGUAUUAUAAGAGGUUGGACAAACUCCUUCCAAAAACCACCUCGUCCUUUGGAAAGCUCCAUUAAAAAGUUCUUCUAUUAGCUGACCCUACUUCCCCCAAGUUCCACACACAAUCUAAUUCUUCUAUGCUGCAUAAACUGAAAUUUUCACAACUAAUACCCCUUGAAGCCACUUUGAACAAAUUUAAUCUUUCUGUAUGUUUCCUGAGUUUGAUUUUCAAUAUCUGCUAACACUAUCAGUUGUUUGAGAUUACCAUGAGAAUUUGUGUUACUACUAGGGUCUUCUUAUUGUACUACUUUUGAGAAUCUUUUUUCCUUUCCUCACAACUCUGCCCCUCUUUUAUGCCCCCAAACCAGAGGCAAGAAGUAGAACAAGAAAGAAGGUGGAGUAGAAGCAGGUCUUUUCUGCAAGACUCUGGAUAUGGAUUCAUUUCUUAAAAUUACCUCAAGUGACUUCCUCCCUCACCCAGUCAACCUGAAAUCUAGGAACUCAAGCUGUAUUACAGAAUUAAGGGAUGAUGGGCAAUUAAAACUGUAAUCCACCUAGACAGAAAUAUGACAGAAACAUUAGUCUACUGAUAUGGGGUUAAGUCUUGUUUCAUGACACAAAGUUAUAGAAAGUGCCUCCAUGCCUCUGUAUUGGCAGAGGAUAUAGAAUUUCCCACCCUCUUCUCCAGUCCUGACUCUACAUCCCAAACAACAAAUGGGUAGUAAGUAGGGGAAAGAACACUAAAUCCUUUGUUUUCACUUUGACUCCUGAAUCUGUGACCUUUUUGCUUUAGUAGAAACAUAUCUUUUUUAGGAGAUUUGGGAAUUGGCUAACAAUUGGCAAAAUUGCUAGCCAAUUUCCAAAUCUCCUAAAUUGGCUAACAAUUGGCAAAAAUGCUAGCCAAUUCCCAAAUCUCCUAAAAAAGAUAUGUUUCUACUAAAGCAUAGGUGUGUUUGUGUAAGCAAGGCAACUUUUUAGGGUCAUGAAAUCCCCGCUGCUAAGUGAUUUGGGAUAUAUUUGCAAUGAUGGAAGCUUUUUUAAAAAAUGCCUUCAUUGCUAUCUAGUUGGCAGGAACCUGGGGGAAAAAAAUAGGCUCAAAUUGAGUUCUGUUCCAGUCUAAAAUUAUAGACAUUUAAACCAAGAAAAUCUCACAGAGUUUUUCUAGUCCAAGAUCUCUCACAAUUAAAGAUAUGCCUUUGAUCUCUGAGUUAGUUGUUCAAUCUUCACUUAACUACUAGAAGAAACAGUGAUAACAACUUCACUGUUUUUCAGAAAGCCCAAACUGUUUUUCUGGAUGCAAUGUUUAGGAAAAAUAAAUCCUUAUAAGUAAUAAAGCUAACUCCUUUUCAUGUGUUACUGCUCUUUUCUUUCCUUAUUUUAUUCUACAAAUCAUCUUCCCUGCAGAAUUUGAAACUAACAGUCCUACUUAACCUAACUCCUCUACAUAUUCUUAUUCCUAAUCCAAUUUUGUCUUCUUUCCAGAUCAAACAUCCUCCUUCUACAUAUUCACCAAUCUGCCCAUAAAUGUCCCUUGUAAAGUAUGAGAUUCUGAACUGAAGGACAUUUCAAGCCUGUUUGUUUUUCUCUACUUCAAAUAUGCCGGAAUUUCCCAUAGGUGUAUUAAACCUCUAUGUAUAUGACUAUGUAUUAUCAUAACACUUAGCUUGCAUACCCACCCAUAAACUUAGAGCAAUAGAGUCUUGGAUGUCAGGGCCAUUUUUAACAUUUUUUGUUGCAGCAUUCAGAAAUUAUAUCAUCCUAAUAGUGACUUCAAAGGAAGAAAAAUAGGACUAACAUUUUUUAAAUGCUGAGAAUCACAAAUAAGUUAAAGAAGCCAUUAACGCUCACUGUUAAUUUCUUCUCUUGAAAUCCACCCUGGUAUGCAAACAUUAGACUUUUCUUUGCUUGAACUAUGUACAAGCUGACAAGCCUCUCUCCGACAGCAAAAACUCUGACUUUUUGAUUUCACAUUCUCCCUUAUUUCUAACUCAUUCUUUCCGUGGAAACUUAGGUAAACAUUUUUUUUUCAUGGAGGCAACUUCUAUAUUAUGGAAAUCUGAACAAUUGAUAUAAAACAUCCUUGAAGGCAAUGAUGGAAAAUGACUUACUUAGAAAACAUGUUAAUAUGUAAUUUCUAAAGACCCAGUUCUGGCUGCAGCACUAUCAUUUGCUAUAUGAAUCUGCACAGGCUGAAUUCACUGCUCUGAGAUUCAGUGCAUUCAUCUAAAAUGUAUUAUAUGCAUUAUUCACCUCGUUGGGGUUGUUUUGAACCCCAACUGAAGCUCAAACAUGUCAAUACAUCAUAACGCUAAAGCACUUUUUAAUUCUUGAAACUGUUCUUAACAAACAGUAUAGAUUUGAGUUGUUUAUACUGUCAUAGAGUGAAAACUAUAUGUGUGUUUCACUAAAGGUCUGAGGGAAAAGAUAAUUUCAGUAUUUCCCACUAUCAAAGCCUCCCAUUUCAGAAGGCAUUUGGCUCAAAAUAUUGAAAUUUCAAAAGUUGGGUGAAAACUUGGAUCACUAUUUUCUUAUUUCCAUGGGUAGGACCUCCCUUGUGGUUGCCACGCUGGUGGCAGAAGCCAAAGAGUUUUCCAUGAUUGCCUUUCAUGUACAUUUACUUGGCUCCCAAAUACCUUACAGGCAGAAUUUUCUUCUGUGGUUAUACUAGAUUACACUUAACUCUUAGAAUAUCAAACCACAGCACUUUUUUAUAUUGGAUGGACAGUAAGACAGAUUUCUAAUAGAAUUUUACUUGACAAUGACUAAGAAUACUGAUCAAAAUUUAUAAGCUUCCAGAAGUAUUUUUAAUUAAAUUACACCUUUUAGUAUGUUUUCUUUUGACUAGCUCUUAAAUUCAUGCUUAGUUUAAAAUUUUUUAAAUGAUAACUAACGGCCAUUCCCCUAGAUAUUUUUAAAAUUCUCAGUUAUAAAGCAAAGUUUAACAAAUCAAAAAUCAAGAUUUUCAUGAGUUUUUAAAAUAAAAUCCUGCCAUUCAACAAAGCCAUUAAAAAAUAUCUUUUGAAAAAUCACAGCAUCUAAUUUUAGCCCCCUCAAAUCACAUAUUCCUAAUCACAACACCCCUCAGAGUGGUCAGGUAUCCUCUGUUUAAAUGCUAACAGAGGCUGAAAGUUUAUAACUGUGAUAUCCACUCCACUAUUACAUAUUAUUUGUACUUCAUCUUCUUUAUAUUUAGUCAAAACCCACUGAAAACUCUGCUUAUUUUUCCUAGUUCUAUCCUGAGAGCUAGAAUAAAUCAGUCUUAGCUUUCAUUUUAAUAGUGUUUCUAAGUCUUGUUUUAAAAUCUUAGUUUCAGAUACAUUUUUAGAAAUCUACUAUGACUCCAGUAAAAUGGAAAUGCAAAAUAUUAUUCUCUUCCUACUUAUGUUUUCAUUGAACCAAAACAUUGCUGGCUAAUGAGUGGCUGGUACAAUAAAGCCUUGGUUGAAUUUCCAGCCCAUGCUGGACACCCUGGGGUUCUCCUGCACUGCACUUAUCACAUUGGAAUUUGUCUUUUCUUCUAGAUGCCAGCUUCAUGAAAUCAAGAGUUUUGUCUAUUACAUUCAUUGUUAUAUCCUUAGUAUGAUGCCUGCCUCAGAGUGACAAAUAUUUUUCAAAUAAUGAUUAAAUACAUGCACUUAUGAUUGAUUCAUGGACAUAUGAUUACAUGCAUAACUGAAUACAUAUGUAAAUAGACUCUGGAGUCUAUGCAUUAUGAAGAUACCAUUCAAUUUUCACGUUUCUAUUUUAAAAUCCAUGCUACAAGAGCCUAAGAAUUAUUUUUCUGCUUUCUUUCUGGGACCUGGUCAGUAAAUCUCAGUGUCCUGGGAGAGGAGGUUGUCCAAGGGCAUGUGGCUUACAUUGUUGAAUGAGGAAGCAGCAGCCGUGAUUGUGUACCCUCAUGGGACUAAGACAGAUAUUUGCUAAACCUGAUAGAUUUUCAGAAUCAUGCUUGCCAUAAUUCUAUAAGAUGAUCAAGGUCAGUGGACAUCCAUGUGUCCUUUGAGUAAAAGGUAUACUUGUCCCAGAGGGUAAUUUCAUUUUGAUGUAUUUUGAGCAUAAUAUCUGGGGAAGAUUUUUGCAACUGCGUGACAAAAUUAUUGACAGUAGUAGGCAGAAAGUUCAGGGACAGGACUGCCGCUAUGGCCCAAAACUUAGAGAGACAAGAGAUAAUGGAUGACUGGGGACACAGAAAAGGGUAGGGUCCAAGUCGAUCUGACAGACCUGGCAGAGAAGGACCUGUAGGACUUCUAAUCAGCUGAGUAUGAGAUUCAGAGUGAAAGGAGUUGAGAGAUUCAAAGGUGGUUCAAUUAAGAUGCAGGCAGAAGCCAUUUUAUAUUAAAUAAGUGUUAAAGAUUAAUCAGAAAGCUAAUUUAUUAGAUGUUUUUCUACUUCUUUUCCUAAAAUGAAUAUAAUUCAUUUAAAUAGAACAAUUAGUAGUUUUAUUUGAUGGUUAUGAUGAGCCAUUUUAACAAAGUCCCAUUUUUAAAUAGCAUAAUUGAAUAAAAUAUGCUGUUCUCAGUGAUUUCAUUAGCUACUCCUUCUGGAAGGAAGACAAGCUGCUCAGACCCCCAUACUACACUGAAGUUACACCUUCCCGGAAGUAGCCUGCCCUAAUUAAAUAUCACUAGGCAACCUACUGAGUGUUAGUGUUACAAACAGCCUUGUAAAGUGGUGUAAGCAUCACAGAGGAAAGAACUCUCCUUUACUUGAAAUACAAACAUAGCAUAGAUAAGUCUUGGGGCUAUGGUAGGUUUCAUGCUUCAUGGAAGGCAACAUAAACAAUUACAGGAACUCUUGGUCAUGAAUUUUAUGACACAGGUAAUAGAAAAUGCUAAGUGCAAUUGUAGUAAUGCCAUAACAGAUCUAAGCCUAGCAAUGGUGGAAACAAAAAAAUAAAUGGAACUUCUCUGUUUAACCUGUCUUUGCCUACUGGUGUUCACUAGACAUAUACAAAUGAUCAGCAUGCUUUUAAAAUGUUUGCUCUUUUCUAAACCUAUGCAAUAUACAUGAAUAUAGUAUACAUACUUGCAUGUGUAUAUAAAUAAAUGUCUAUAUAUGUGUGUAAAUGUAUAUGCGUAUAUACAUACAUACUUGUGCAUGAACGGAUGGGGUAUUUCUGACAUCACAUACAAGCAACAGUGUUCAUCAGUGUUAACCGUAUUUAUUUUUGGGAAGUGGGACACAACACCAGAACAAAGGGAUGCCUUGACUGUGGAUGUGAUACUCAUCUGUGGUAUUAAAACAUUUUAUAAAAAGCAUGUGCCAUUUUUAUAAUUUAAAAAAACCCCUAAAUAUUAUUAAUAAAAUUGACAUGUAAUAAAAUAAAGAUGCUGUGUCAUUUUUUAAAGCCAUGAAUAUUAUAAGGGGUCUAGUAAAUAAAUAAAUUUCAGAAAUUCGUUAGGCAAAGGGACUCUCACUAGGUCCAGAUGAAAAUGAAGUGAUGUUGAGUAGCUCCCAGCACAGGCAGAUCUGCCAAAGCAGCCAUUCUGAAAGGAUAAGGAGCAACAGGUAUGUACGGCUCUCCAUCAGUCAUUACUAAUUUCCAUCACUGUGCAUUUGCCAGCUAAAUUAUGUUUCAAAACUUGCACUGGUUUUUGGUUAUCACAUCUACAGAGGAAACAUAAGCUCUGAAAGCAAAAUUCCUAGUCAUGGUAUUUAUUCCAUUCUUGGCUUACUAAUCUUCUCUCUUAUUCUUUAUGAAGUCCUUGAAUACGAUAAAGCACAGUUUAACUGUGUUCUAUUUUGUUAAAUGCACAAUAUUAAAAUAUAAGCUUGCAAAAAUGACUACCUUUCAGGUUACAGAAUGUUGUCUUUUAAUAACUCUUCAUUUUCCAUUCCUCUAUCAACCACAUCUAAAAAUGGAAUCUCAAAGCAGUCAGUGCCAUGACACAAAGAAACAAACACAGAGGAGUCAGCCAAGCUAGCUGCCUCUUCAGUGCUGUCUCAGUAGGCUUUGUAGAAAUGAUAUUUCUAUAGGUACAUAUUUUUAUGUCUGUUAAAGUUACAUGGCACUUCAGACCAGGACUAGAUCACUUGCUUUCCUGAUGUCCUAAUAGUAGGGAUACAAUAUACUUAAGCUGAGAUGGAAACUCCUAGACCAUAAGGCCUUAGCUCUUUCCAAAGCCCAGGACCAAUUUUUAAAACAUGCUACAGGAGGUGGUUUAAUGUUGAAGCCAUUAAACAUGUGGUUAUUCUGCUCACUUUAUUUUGGAAAUCCCAAGUCCUAGUGGUACUUGCUUUUUUCAAAGCGAUAUAUCAAAUAUUGGUCUCCAUGAAUAACACAGGACUCUAAUGCCUUUUUUUUUUUUGGUUUGAAAAAAUUUCCAAAUGCAUCAGGAAUCUUACAGUACCAACUCAUCAUUUUUCAUAACACAGAUUUAUGUCUUCAAUUGGAGCUAUUUAGAAA
rnacentral:lncRNA from 10 species